ensembl:lncRNA
CUUCCCCUGAAGCUGGCAUCUUCCAUUCAGGGGCUGCCUGGGGUGAAGGGAAGUGGCCCACGGCUUGCUGUCCCCAAAACCUGGUCCUCUUCCUCUUGCUGGCACCCACAUAUGGCACACAGGCACCAGGUCCGAUAGGGCACCUGUGGACCGCUGCCCUGGGAAGGGAUGAGUGGAGUCUUUCCUGAGGGAUUCUCAAGGCAGAAACUAGGCGCCUCCCAAGUUUCCCCCCCAACAUUUCCAGCUGGGUGAGUACACUGAGCUCUAACCUGUACUUUGAGUAUGAAUUUUUCUUUUUUGUACUGGGGCUCAAACUCGGGUCCUUGCUCUUGCAAGGCAGACGGUGGAACCACUGAGCUAAAUCCCCGGCCCUCUAACCUGCACUUUGAACUGACGAAUGCUGAUCAGGGCUCUCUGUACAAGCACAGAGCCCUGCGUCUGAACCCACAGCUGUAGGAUUCGCCUCAUUUCUUUUCACGGUCUCAUUGAAGGCAGGAGCAAGGCCGCCCCAGGCAGCCGCUCCAGAUCUCCAAAAGGGACCCCAGGCACUGGCCGAAAGCACACAGGGCCACCAGAAGCAGGAAGGGUGAAAGCCAGGCUGCCCUCAGAACUGCCUCUCUCAGCAGCAGAAGGUAAAUGUCUCUGGGACAAGGAAACAGCCCUCAAGAGGUGACCGCAUGGGCAGAACUGGCAGAAGUAUGACCAGGUCUCCUAAAGGCAGGGUGGAGGGGAGCAGCUUGGCUUGCUCUCCAUUCUGUGCAUCCUGCUGGCUGCCUCCCAGGCUCCCAGGCCCUGGGGAGUUUUUCCAACCUUCUGCAUGAGAACAAUCUCCUGCUUCCAUCCAUCCCCCACUGCCCCUGUGUAAGCCCGGGCCAAGACCCAAGCUGAAGCAGCCUCUGCCUCCAGCCCCGCCUCCUGCUCCCCUCCAGGGCCAGCCCAGGUGUCCUCCUGGGCUCCCGUCCACAGUAGUGGGGGGAAGGCCUUUCCUUUCUGACUCCCAGACAUGCUUGGAGGUGGGGGCGACAUAUCCCAUGACUGCCUGGGUCCUGUGCCACAGGGAUGGGAAUGGGACAGAGCGCUGGCACUGCUGUGUCCAGAGAAAGGGGGCUUUGGUAGCUUCUGAAUGGGCCAGGAAGCGAAGGACCCCAGCCCCUGGCCUUGGGAGAUGGCAACAGUGUCCCUGAGAGCUCCUGCAGCUGGGGUGGGAGAGUGGGGGACAAGGAGACCAGGAGGAACCCAGACAGCAGGCUGGGUGACACAGAGGGAGACCUUGCCACAUGAAGGAGCAAGCGAAUGAGCGAGAUCUGCUGUCCCUCUGAGCCAGCCAGGCCCUUGCAAAGGAGCAAGGGAACCCCAGCCUGCUCCACAAAACACAGGUGAAGGAGCUGGGGAGCUGGGGAUGGAGGUCAGUGGUGCUGCCCCUGCCUGGCAAGCACAAAGUCCUGAGUUCGAUUCCUGGUACUGGGAAGAAAAAAGAACUGGAGGGCUGGAGCCGAAACUCACGCACACUUACUUCUGAAGAAGAGCCUGUGCCCCUGGACAGCCCUGCAGCCCCCCUCCCUGCUUCCAGUGGGGAAGAUCCACAUGCUUGCCCAGCCUCGGCCAUGCCAGGCACUUGCUAUGUGAUUCAGGCUGGGCUUGAACUCACUAUGUAUUCCAGGCUGGACUUGAACUCACGGCAAUCCUCCUGCCUCAGCCUCCCAAGUACUGGGAUUACAGGUACUGGGGAUUGAACUUGGGACCUUGUGCUUUCGAGGCAGCUGGUGGCACCACUGAGCUAAAUCCCCAGCCCACUAAGGGCAUAUUUCCGAAGAGUGACCUGCCUCAGUCCUUCAAGAGGGAUCCAGAGGGAAGCCACAGCUGUGGUCAUGGGGGUGACAGGCACCUUGUCACUGCCUUCCGGGGGGAGAGGAUGUGGAGGCGGAAGGCAGAGACUGACACUCCUCAUCCUGUGUAGGCCUAGGCCAAUGUGUGUGUUUGCAUCUUGAUUUUUAAUUUUUUUAAAAGUUUAAAAAGUAAAAUAAAAUUUAAAUAGAAAAGCUUAUAUAACAAGGGUAUAAAACUACUUUUGUACAGCUGUACAUGUUUGUGUUUGAAGCUGUUAUUACAAAUGAGUCAAAAUGUUUAAAUUAUCAAGAGCAUAUAAAGUAAAAAUGUUACAGUAAACUGAAGUUAAUUUAUUACCGAAGGAAAAUACUGGUCAUCAAUUCAGUGCAGGCUAGGUGUGGCCUGUGUAAAGUCCACAGCAGUGCACAGAAACAUCCUGGGCUUCCACACUCACUUCACCACUCGGGGUACGUACAAGGCACCAUCUCUACCACAUCUUAACUGUGCCUUUUCUGCAUUUGAAUGCACGAAUACUGUUAUGGCUGUCUAGAUGUCUCCCAAAGCCCCAUGCAGUCGUAGCUGGGGGGUUUUCAGAGGUGGCUGGAUUUAAAGUGUGUAAUUGAUUCAUGGUGCAAUGCUAGGAUUAAGAGUGCUAGAAUUAAGGGUGUGUGAUUACUAAAUCAGUCCACUGAUUGGUUUGGCCCUGCCCUAAUCUCAGUAGCCUGAGUACAGUAUAAGGGACAGAAGAGGCUUGUCUUGUCCUGGCGAAGCCCAACCGACCUCCAAUGCUGCUUGACAAAGUUCCCGGUGGGGGAAAGAAAGGGUGGAACACAUCGUACCCUCAUGUUUUAUUUUUUCUUGCCAUAAUGUUUAUAAUUGUUACUCUGAUCACAGGAGUCAUUGUGUUUGUGACUAACAACAAACUCUCCAUGAGACAAAUUGGUAAUGAUACAUUGAAAUCUGAUCUGGCUCACAAGUCCCAAAUUCCAGUUUCUCUUAGUUCUAUUGCCACAUCCACUCCUAAAGAAACCUCUCCUAAAACCCCCUCUGUUUCCCCACUACUAUGACUCCCCCUCUUAUUGCUGACAUUCUUUUUACUAAAGGGGUCUUAUGAAGAGAUUGAAAGGACAGACUUUAGAUGUAAGAAAUAGUGGAAAGUGGGAAAUAGAAAGAACGUUAAGACAGGUAAAUGCAUUAAGGAGGCAAGUUACUCAGUAUUUCUCAAAGUGCUGUAAAUAUCUCCUGCUCGUGGACUAUGAACCCAAAUGACAUUUAGUUAAGAUGAAUAGAGGUAUAGAAAAACAGAGAGCUAAUAGCAAACUAUAUUAACCAUUGUGCAGUUUCUCAAGGGCCAGCUGGUGAUCACAAGUUUGACACUUAGUUGAUUAAAUCUUGCUUGUACCCCCACUGAUAUAAAGAUUUUGAUUAAGUUACUUUCUGUUCUGUUUAGGUGUGGGUAAAUAAGGGGACAAUUGUAAUUUUUAAAUAUGUAUUUGUGACGUUCAAUGAAAUGAAACAGCUUAGAGGAAUUGUACUUUGUUUAGCAAAAAAUAACCUUUACUUCAAUAGAAAUUGCUAAGGCAAUCUAAAAUGUAAACAUGUUCCGCCCAGUGCCUCCUAGCCAUUGCUUAAAGAUAUAAAAAUAAAUCAGACCCUGAGACUUUUCAGAGGGAACCUGAACAUUGCUUGUGAAGGUUCUUUUCUCAUCGCUGGCCCAGGACAUCUCCCCUUCCUACCCUACAUCGACAUCAACUGCAGCUGGUUUGCAGCAUUGUCCCUUGUUGCUUUGUCACCUUCUGUCUGUCACAAACUGUUUCUCUUCCGUGAUGCCCCUUUGCCAUGCUUGACUUGGAG